rnacentral:rRNA from 1 species
UGGGGAAUAUUGCACAAUGGGGGAAACCCUGAUGCAGCAACGCCGCGUGAGUGAUGAAGGCCUUCGGGUUGUAAAGCUCUUUGAUUAGGGACGAUAAUGACGGUACCUAAAGAACAAGCCACGGCUAACUACGUGCCAGCAGCCGCGGUAAUACGUAGGUGGCAAGCGUUGUCCGGAUUUACUGGGCGUAAAGGAUGUGUAGGCGGAUUUUUAAGUGAGAUGUGAAAUACCCGAGCUCAACUUGGGUGCUGCAUUUCAAACUGGAAGUCUAGAGUGCAGGAGAGGAAAGUGGAAUUCCUAGUGUAGCGGUGAAAUGCGUAGAGAUUAGGAAGAACAUCAGUGGCGAAGGCGACUUUCUGGACUGUAACUGACGCUGAGGCAUGAAAGCGUGGGGAGCAAA